AGAGCUCAGAUUUGAAAGCUGGCACCUCCGGUGUCCGCGUUGUAAUCUCGAGACGCGUUUUCCGCGCGGCGCUAUGGACAAGUUCCUUGGAACGGGACAUCGUAGAGGGUGAAAAUCCCGUACUUGCCAUGGAUGUACCGUGCUUUGCGAUACACGCUCCAAGAGUCGAGUUGUUUGGGAUUGCUGCUCAAAAUGGGUGGUAGACUCCAUCUAAAGCUAAAUAUCGGGGAGAGACCGAUAGCGAACAAGUACCGUGAGGGAAAGAUGAAAAGCACUUUGGAAAGAGAGUUAAAAGUACGUGAAAUUGUCGAAAGGGAAGCGCUUGAAGUCAGCCAUGCCGCUGGGGACUCACCCUGGCUUUUGCUUGAGGUAUUUCCUGGGUAGCCAGGCCGCAUUGGGUUGGCUCCGCCGAAAAAGGUACCAGGAAUGGGGGCCCCUCCGGGUGGUUAUUAGCCCUGAUUGGAAUCCAGCAUGUAGAACCAGGAACCGCGGGGUGCUCUCGGGGCGGCUCUUUGACACACCUUCACUUUAGAUAUGCUGGCGUAAUGGCUUAAGUGGCC
rnacentral:rRNA from 1 species